rnacentral:rRNA from 1 species
UUACUGAGUUUACGCUCUAUAACCCUUUGUGAACAUACCUAUAACUGUUGCUUCGGCGGGCAGGGUCUCCGCGACCCUCCCGGCCUCCCGCCCCCGGGCGGGUCGGCGCCCGCCGGAGGAUAACCAAACUCUGAUUUAACGACGUUUCUUCUGAGUGGUACAAGCAAAUAAUCAAAACUUUUAACAACGGAUCUCUUGGUUCUGGCAUCGAUGAAGAACGCAGCGAAAUGCGAUAAGUAAUGUGAAUUGCAGAAUUCAGUGAAUCAUCGAAUCUUUGAACGCACAUUGCGCCCGCCAGCAUUCUGGCGGGCAUGCCUGUUCGAGCGUCAUUUCAACCCUCAAGCUCUGCUUGGUGUUGGGGCCCUACAGCUGAUGUAGGCCCUCAAAGGUAGUGGCGGACCCUCCCGGAGCCUCCUUUGCGUAGUAACUUUACGUCUCGCACUGGGAUCCGGAGGGACUCUUGCCGUAAAACCCCCCAAUUUUCCAAAGGUUGACCUCGGAUCAGGUAGGAAUACCCGCUGAACUUAAGCAUAUCAAUAAGCGGAGGAAAAGAAACCAACAGGGAUUGCCUCAGUAACGGCGAGUGAAGCGGCAACAGCUCAAAUUUGAAAUCUGGC